rnacentral:rRNA from 1 species
UACGUAGGUGGCAAGCGUUGUCCGGAUUUAUUGGGUUUAAAGGGUGCGUAGGCGGCUUUGUAAGUCAGUGGUGAAAUAUGGCAGCUUAACUGUCAAGGUGCCAUUGAUACUGCGGAGCUUGAGUACAGAUGAGGUAGGCGGAAUUGACGGUGUAGCGGUGAAAUGCUUAGAUAUCGCCAAGAACACCUAUAGCGAAGGCAGCUUACUAGGCUGUAACUGACGCUGAGGCACGAAAGUGUGGGGAUCAAACAGG